CAAGAGCAAACCACCACACCUUGCUCUGUCCUGCAGGCCUGUGAGGGUACUCAAAUAAUGAGUGCUAGCUAUAGGGGACUGCAAAGGGUCACCCAUUUCUACGUUGUUCUGUGACGAGACUGUUGAUAUGGAUUCAUGGCACAGAGAGAGACAGUGAGCUGCAGGGAGCUGUGAGCCAGCAUCGAUUUAAAUAAGCUGGCAUGAUAAGAAAGUGCGGAGAGGUUUCAAGGAUGUGGCGCCCUCUGGUGGUAGCAUACAUGAGGAGGCGAAAACUGCUGCCUCCCAGCACUUCGCAGCAGCAAUCUGUAGAUCCAGGAAUGAUGCAGCACUUCUAACUGGGUCAGCCUGUGCCUUCCUCGCAUCCCUCCCGCCUUCCCCACCAUCGCUUCAAGUCACCCCUCCUCUUCUUCCUCCUCCUUUCCCCCCACCCCUCUAUAUGCAAACACCCCUAUAGUUUUUUCACCAUGCAGCUCAUGUGCUGCCCCCUCUCGUCUCACUCUCGCCCCCACCCCCCUCCUUUUUUUCUGCCUGAUUCAUUUUCUCCCGUCCAUGCAUGCUGUCAUAGUGUCUCAGCCUGUUGCUAAAUGACUCCCAUCCCCUCGCACACACACACACACAGUCGCUUUACGCUGGCUAGCUGUUAUUGUGGUUUUCCCACACAAACCUGACUCUUAAGCAUGUGGAUCGUAAUGGUGUCAGUAGGUUUGUAUGUACAGGAAGGGCACAUUGCGUGGCAAUGUGAGCUCUAAAUGUAUUUCUGAGCUGCUCUUCAGAUUGGCUGAUACUCUCAGACCUCGCUGCGGUGGAGAAUAUAUAUGACUGAGCAGUGUCCAAUCAAAGAUUGUUACCAUGCAGCCACAUACUCUACAUAUGUGCAUCCAUACACGGCAUACAUUCAUAAAUAUCGCUGUAACUGUAAUAUAUUUAAAGCACUAUAACACUAUUAAUCGGUCCCCUGAGGGAAACACACUGCAUGAACCUUAAAGCAUACAUUAUAGAACAAAAGACAUGGACAUAACUCUAUUAUACCAAAGGGCAGGAGCAUGUAGCUACAGAGAGGGAACAUCCCCUUUCUUUAUUCCAGUGUGUGGCACAGUGUGGAUGAGACUUUUAAAAAAAGUGAGGUAAA